GCCAGGCACGGUGGCCCGUGCCUGUAGUCCCAGCUACUAGGGAGGCUGAGGUAGGAGGAUCGCUUGAGCCCAGGAGUUCUGGGCUGUAGUGCACUAAGCCGAUCGGUUUUCUGCACUAAAUUCGGCAUCAAUACAGUGACCUCCCGGGAGCCGGGGACCACCAGGUUGCCUAAGGAGUGGUGAACCGGCCCAGGUUGGAAACGGGGCAGGUCAAAACUCGCAUGCUGAUCAGUAGUGGGAUAGUGCCUGUGAAUAGCUACUGCACUCCAGCCUGGGCAACAUAGCGAGACCCUAUCUCU
rnacentral:SRP_RNA from 1 species